CCCGCACAAGCGGUGGAUGAUGUGGAUUAAUUCGAUGCAACGCGAAAAACCUUACCUACCCUUGACAUGUCUGGAAUCCUGAAGAGAUUUAGGAGUGCUCGCAAGAGAACCGGAACACAGGUGCUGCAUGGCUGUCGUCAGCUCGUGUCGUGAGAUGUUGGGUUAAGUCCCGCAACGAGCGCAACCCUUGUCAUUAGUUGCUACGAAAGGGCACUCUAAUGAGACUGCCGGUGACAAACCGGAGGAAGGUGGGGAUGACGUCAAGUCCUCAUGGCCCUUAUGGGUAGGGCUUCACACGUCAUACAAUGGUCGGGACAGAGGGUCGCCAACCCGCGAGGGGGAGCCAAUCCCAGAAACCCGAUCGUAGUCCGGAUCGCAGUCUGCAACUCGACUGCGUGAAGUCGGAAUCGCUAGUAAUCGCGGAUCAGCAUGUCGCGGUGAAUACGUUCCCGGGUCUUGUACACACCGCCCGUCACACCAUGGGAGUGGGUUUUACCAGAAGUAGUUAGCCUAACCGCAAGGGGGGCGAUUACCACGGUAGGAUUCAUGACUGGGGUGAAGUCGUAACAAGGUAGCC
rnacentral:rRNA from 1 species